CAUGUAACAUUCAUGCUUUACUUGCUCCAGGCUCUGUCUGAAAGUGAUGCUAUUAUACCAGGGUUGCAGAUGAGCAACCAAGGCCCAGGAGGUGAGCGAGUCUACUCCAAGGCAGAGUGUAUCCAUCACACCAAGACAUCAGCUCCUGACCAGGGAAAGGCUGUGCACAGGCCGAGCCCAACUCACCCUAAGGAGCCAGAGCCUGGAGACAGCUUGAUUGCUAAACCCGGACAGUUCCCCCAUAUCCCGCCACGACGUGCCCAAGCUUUGAGACAGUGCUAGAAGAAGGUGUCAGAUCCCUUGGAACUGGAGUUGCAGGCCAUGGAGCGAGCUGACAUCUAAGAACGGGGAUUCUCAGAGACAGAAGGUGAUUUUCCCAGAGCC